GACGAACGCUGGCGGCGUGCUUAACACAUGCAAGUCGAACGAAGUGGCGAACGGGUGAGUAACGCGUAAUCAACCUGCCCUUCAGAGGGGGAAAACAGUUGGACACGACUGUUAAGACCGCUUAAUGAAGAGGGGGUAUGGGUCUGAUUAGCUAGUUGGAGGGGUAACGGCCCACCAAGGCGAAGAUCAGUCAGCUGUCUGAGAGGAUUAACGGCCACAAUGGGACUGGGACAAGGCCCAGACUCCUACGGGAUGCAACAGUGGGGAAUCUUCCGCAAUGGACGAAAGUCUGACGGAGCAACGCCGGGUGAGUGAUGACGGCCUUCGGGUUGUAAAGCUCUGUUAAUCGGGACGCGGUACCGGAAUAGAAAGCCACGGCUAACUACGUGCCAGCAGCCGCGGUAAUUC
rnacentral:rRNA from 1 species